rnacentral:rRNA from 1 species
UAAGAAGGGGGAAAGAGUUACAGGGAAUUACUGGGCGUAAAGCGUGCGUAGGUGGUUCGUUAAGUCUGAUGUGAAAGCCCUGGGCUCAACCUGGGAAUUGCAUUGGAUACUGGCGAGCUAGAGUGAGGUAGAGGAUGGCGGAAUUCCCGGUGUAGCAGUGAAAUGCGUAGAGAUCGGGAGGAACAUCUGUGGCGAAGGCGGCCAUCUGGACCAGCACUGACACUGAGGCACGAAAGCGUGGGGAGCAAACAGG